rnacentral:tRNA from 1 species
UGUAGCUCAGUGGUAAGAGCGCUUGCCUUGCAUGUGUGAAUCGCUGAGUUCGGUUCUCAGCA